GUCUACGGCCACAUCACCCUGAUUGCGCCCGAUCUCGUCCGGUCUCAGAAGUUAAGCAGGGUCAGGCUUGGUUAGUACUUGGAUGGGAGACCGGCGGGGACUACCCGGUGCUGUAGGCU
rnacentral:rRNA from 1 species